UUGCCUCAGUAACGGCGAGUGAAGCGGCAACAGCUCAAAUUUGAAAUCUGGCCCUUUCAGGGUCCGAGUUGUAAUUUGCAGAGGGUGCUUUGGCGUCGGCCGUGGUCUAAGUUCCUUGGAACAGGACGUCACAGAGGGUGAGAAUCCCGUACGUGGCCGCCGGUCUUCGCCGUGUAAAGCCCCUUCGACGAGUCGAGUUGUUUGGGAAUGCAGCUCUAAAUGGGAGAUACAUUUCUUCUAAAGCUAAAUAUUGGCCAGAGACCGAUAGCGCACAAGUAGAGUGAUCGAAAGAUGAAAAGCACUUUGGAAAGAGAGUCAAAAAGCACGUGAAAUUGUUGAAAGGGAAGCGCUUGCAGCCAGACGUGCCCGCAGUUGCUCACCCAGGCUCUUGCCUGGGGCACUCUUCUGCGGGCAGGCCAGCAUCAGUUCGGGCGGUUGGAUAAAGGUCUCUAUCACGUACCACCCUUCGGGGUGUCCUUAUAGGGGAGACGCAACACGGCCAGCCUGAACUGAGGACCGCGCAUCAGCUAGGAUGCUGGCGUAAUGGCUGUAAGCGGCCCGUCUUGAAACACGGACCAAGGAGUCUAACAUCUAUGCGAGUGUUUGGGUGUAAAGCCCGGGCGCGCAAUGAAAGUGAACGGAGGUGGGAACCCUUUGGGUGCACCAUCGACCGAUCCUGAAGUCUUCGGAUGGAUUUGAGUAAGAGCAUAGCUGUUGGGACCCGAAAGAUGGUGAACUAUGCCUGAAUAGGGUGAAGCCAGGGGAAACCCUGGUGGAGGCUCGCAGCGGUUCUGACGUGCAAAUCGAUCGUCAAAUUUGGGCAUAGGGGCGAAAGACUAAUCG
rnacentral:rRNA from 1 species